rnacentral:lncRNA from 1 species
CUCCACAACCCCCGCAAGCUGAGGGAGCCGGCCCCGGCCUUGGCCUGCCCAGAAAGGGGCUCCCACAGUGCAGCGGCAAGCUGAAGGGCUCGUCAAGUGCCGCCAAAGUGGGAGCCCAGGCAGAGGAGGUGCCGAGAGCGAGUGAGGGGUGUGAGGACUGCCAGCACGCUGUCACCUCUCACUUGGAUCCUGCAUAUCUUCUAAAACCUACUUCAUUCCUUGGAUUAUGGCUUCCCUCUAUCUUCAAAGUGAGUAAUAGUGCUUCCAAUCGCUGAACUGAACUGGGAACAAAUCAACAAGGGAAACCAAGAGAUGCAUUCCUUGAAGUUCAGCCUCCAGGCCUCAAGUAAGGCAGAGGAAGAGAAUACAUAGAUCUGUGGAGAAGAGUGGUGAUGGUGGGAGCUGCCAAUAAAGAACUAUCAAAAAAGGAUGAUGCAACAGAAAAGCCGUCACCAGAUACCAGCACCUUAAUGUUGGACUUCUCAGCCUCCAGAACUGUAAGAAAUAAAUCCCUGUUCUUUAUAAAUUACCCAGUCUCAGGUAUCCUGCUAUAGCAGCACAAAAUGGACUAUGAUAGAAAAUUGGUAUGAAGGAGUAGUACCAUUGUUAUAACAAAUACCUAAAAAUGGAAGCCACUCUGGAACUGGGUAAGGGGUAGAGUAUGGAAGAAUUUAGAGGAGCAGGCUAGAAAAAGCCUAAAUUGCUGUGUAUUACUCCAGGAUGGUAAGAAAUAAAUCUCUGUUCUUUAUAAAUUGCCCAGACUCACAGCACAAAACAAAUUAAGACAUUAAGAUUUGCCCCAUUCUUAGAAUUCAUUUCUUCCAUUUUCCCUUUAAUUAAAUCAAUGCCAGCAUCUAAGCAGUGUGCACCUUUUGACCAUAGUCUUUCUAAUUGACCAGAAGCUUAGAUGUGGAAAAUGCAAAAACUAUGCACAUUUCUGAUGGGUUUAACUUCUGAGAAAUUUUUACAAGGUUUUCCUUAUUUUAUCUGCUCCAGUAAACCUGUGGUUUCAUGAACAGGCCUAGAAUUUGAGAUUCAGCUUCUAAACUUCAAAGGUGACCUUUCAACCCAUUUGUUUAUAGACUCGGUAUUAACCUUUUGAGUUCUAGAAUAGGGUUUUAGAACUUACUUUCAUAAAAGUUUAUAUAGUCAAUUCCAUUCAUUUAUGCUAAGGACAUAGAAUAUUUCUAGAUUGCACAAUAUGUUUCUGUGGGAAUUGAAUGGAAAUCCAGGUUUCCUGACAAGAAACAAAGGAUCUUUGGGAGGCCGAGACAGGCGGAUCACGAGGUCAGGAGAUCGAGACCAUCCUGGCUAACACGGUGAAACCCCGUCUCUACUAAAAAUACAAAACUUAGCCGGGCAUGGUGGCGUGCGCCUGUAGUCCCAGCUACACGGGAGGCUGAGGCAGGAGAAUGGUGUGAACCCGGGAGGCGGAGCUUGCAGUGAGUCGAGAUCACGCCACUGCACUCCAGCCUGGGUGACAGAGCGAGACUCCGUCUCAAAAAAAAAAAAAGAAAAAAAAGAAACAAAGGAUCUCUUAGUCUCUCUUGAUCCCAGUCACUUCUGAAGAAAAAAAAUUAUUUACCUGAAGUCCAUUGCUUCCUUGUGGGAUUCUUUUUUUUUAAAUGCUGGAUUGUGGAUUAAAUAAAAAGAUCUGAGAAAUAGGUCAGAAAUUAAAUCCUGGUGUUGUCAUGGUGUUUUUUAAAUAGCACCCUUGAAAUUGGUUGCAGAACAUACAUUUUAUCUGAUUCUAAUUAUGUGGAAUUUCGAAGUCAUUUUGGUAACAGAACUACUCUAACCUGUUAUUAAACUCAGGAUUUUUUUAAGAAAUAAAAAUUGCUUGGUAAGAAUGUUAACGUUUAAAAAACUAUUAAUGAAUCAGACCAACAAAGCCUACUCAAAUGAAUCUGUAUCUUUAUUCAUGGUUCAAGCAUUACUUCCACUUAACUAAAAAUGAAUAUAUCCUCU